CAGAGCUUUGUUGUCAACGACCACGGAUGACGAGGAUUUCCCAUCCCUUGUGAAUGCGGACGCAGUUAAAAGAUACUUCGUAAAAAAUGAGCUUUGUUGUCAACGACCACGGAUGACGAGGAUUUCCCAUCCCUUGUGAAUGCGGACGCAGUUAAAAGAUACUUCGUAAAAAAGAGACCCGCUGGACAAAAAGAAUAAAAUAGUCCAGGCAAAAAAGGGAAUCCCGG
rnacentral:lncRNA from 1 species